rnacentral:rRNA from 1 species
AUGGAAGAAGAACAGGAAGAGAAGUCAACAGAUGAUGAAAUAUGGCUGCAAUGGCUCCAUGACUUGUUGGUAGCGGCAGACAGAUAUGACAUCCAGUGGCUCAAGUGCAUAUGUGAGAAACAGAUGUCUAAGAAAAUAGGUGUGAGGUCGGUGAUGUCCACUCUUGCUCUAGCCGAGCAGCACCACUGCCAAGGUUUGAAGGAGGCAUGCUUCAAGUUUAUCCAAGUCGAGUCCUCCUCAUGUUUGCAAAAAAUAAUGGUAUCUAAUGGUUGGGAUCACGUUUGUAGGACCUAUCCCUUAGUUUUGAAGGAGCUCUUUGCCAUGCUUGCUUCAAACCACCGGAAGUAA